GGGGUCUUAGCUCAGUGGUAGAGCGCGCGCUUCGCAUGAUCUGAAUGCGUGAGGUCGUGGGUUCAAUCCCCACAGACUCCA
rnacentral:tRNA from 1 species